rnacentral:misc_RNA from 1 species
UGAGUAUAAGAAAUAGUGAAAAUAAUCCAUUGAAGUUGGAUUUGCAUGGUCUUCAUGCAGCAGAGGCUGUUAAAGCCUUGCAAGAACAUCUGAACAAAAUUGAGAUCCUCCUAAAGUAUCGACCAGUAUCACCAGGUAGAUUCAAGACAAAGAAUGGUAUUGCGAAUUCAUCACUUGAGCCCUUUAUUAGCACAGGCGUGGAGAACUUGGAUAAACAACAAACAGGAUUUAGGCAGAGAACAACAUCAUUACAAGU